UGGAGUUGAACAAAGGGUUUCAGGAACUUCUUACAGUCCUCUGCUCUACCAACUGAGCUAUGAAGGUGCUUAUAGACAAAAAUGCAGAAAACAUAGUGGCUUCGGCGACACACUUUGCCAACAAUACAAUUGGACCCACAUGGUCAAUGAAAAAGGUUGAACAGUGCAUAUACCAAUGAAAUCUGGUGCUUGCAGGUGGAGUUGAACCAGCGACCUUUGGACCACAGCGUUUCUUGAACUUCUUAAAGUCAUGUGCUCUACCAACUGAGCUAUGAAGGUGCUUAUAUAUACAAACGCAGAAAACAUAGUGGCUUCGGCGACACACUUUGCCAACAUAACUAUUGGACCGACAUGGUCGAUGAAAAAGGUUGAACAGUGGAUACAGCAAUGAAAUCUGGUGUUUGGAGCUGGAGUUGAACCAGCGACCUUUGGACCACAGCGUUUCAGGAACUUCUUACAGUCCUCUGCUCUACCAACUGAGCUAUGAAGGUGCUUAUAGACACAAACGCAGAAAACAUAGUGACUUCGGCGACACACUUUGCCAACAAUACAAUUGGACCCACAUGGUCAAUGAAAAAGGUUGAACAGUGCAUACACCAAUGAAAUCUGGUGCUUGCAGGUGAAGUUGAACCAGCGACCUUUGGACCACAGCUUUUCAGGAACUUCUUAAAGUCAUGUGCUCUACCAACUGAGCUAUGAAGGUGCUUAUAGACACAAACGCAGAAAACCUUUUGGCUUUGGCCACAGACUUUGCCAACACAACAAUCAAGACACUUGGUCAAUGAAAAAGGUUGAACAGUGGAUAUAACAAUGAAAUCUGGUGCUUGGAGCUGGAGUUGAACCAGCGACUUUUGGACCACAGCAUUUCAGGAACUUCUUAAAGUCAUGUGCUCUACCAACUGAGCUAUGAAGGUGCUUAUAGACACAAACGCAGAAAACAUAGUGGCUUCGGCCACAGACUUUGCCAAAAUAACAAUCAAGCCACUUGGUCAAUGAAAAAGGUUGAACAGUGCAUACACCAAUGAAAUCUGGUGUUUGAAGCUGGAGUUGAACCAGCGACCUUUGGACCACAGCGUUUCAGGAACUUCUUACAGUCCUCUGCUCUACCAAAUGAGCUAUGAAGGUGCUUAUAGACACAAACGCAGAAAACAUAGUGGCUUCGGCCACAGACUUUGCCAACACAACAAUCAAGCCACUUGGUCAAUGAAAAAGGUUGAACAGUGGAUAUAACAAUGAAAUCUGGUGCUUGCAGGUGGAGUUGAACCAGCGACUUUUGGACCACACCGUUUCAGGAACUUCUUAAAGUCAUGUGCUCUACCAACUGAGCUAUGAAGGUGCUUAUAGACACAAACGCAGAAAACCUAGUGGCUUCGGCCACAGACUUUGCCAACACAACAAUCAAGCCACUUGGUCAAUGAAAAAGGUUGAACAGUGAAUACACCAAUGAAAUCUGGUGUUUGGAGCUGGAGUUGAACCAGCGAGCUUUGGACCACAGCGUUUCAGGAAGUUCUUGCAGUCAUGUGCUCUACCAACUGAGCUAUGAAGGUGCUUAUAGACACAAACGCAGAAAACAUAGUGGCUUCGGCCACAGACUUUGCCAACACAACAAUCAAGCCACCUGGUCAAUGAAAAAGGUUGAACAGUGCAUACACCAAUGAAAUCUGGUGUUUGGAGCUGGAGUUGAACCAGCGAGCUUUGGACCACAGCGUUUCAGGAACUUCUUACAGUCCUCUGCUCUACCAACUGAGCUAUGAAGGUGCUUAUAUAUACAAACGCAGAAAACAUAGUGGCUUCGGCGACACACUUUGCCAACAUAACAAUCAAGCCACCUGGUCAAUGAAAAAGGUUGAACAGUGCAUACACCAAUGAAAUCUGGUGCUUGCAGGUGGAGUUGAACCAGCGACCUUUGGACCACAGCUUUUCAGGAAAUUCUUAAAGUCAUGUGCUCUACCAACUGAGCUAUGAAGGUGCUUAUAUAUACAAACGCAGAAAACAUAGUGGCUUCGGCGACACACUUUGCCAACAUAACAAUCAAGCCACCUGGUCAAUGAAAAAGGUUGAAGAGUGCAUAAACCAAUGAAAUCUGGUGUUUGGAGCUGGAGUUGAACCAGCGACCUUUGGAACACAGCGUUUCAGGAACUUCUUACAGUCCUCUGCUCUACCAACUGAGCUAUGAAGGUGCUUAUAGACACAAACGCAGAAAACAUAGUGGCUUCGGCCACAGACUUUGCCAACACAACAAUCAAGCCACUUGGUCAAUGAAAAAGUUUGAACAGUGCAUAUACCAAUGAAAUCUGGUGCUUGCAGGUGGAGUUGAACCAGCGACCUUUGGACCACAGCGUUUCUUGAACUUCUUAAAGUCAUGUGCUCUACCAACUGAGCUAUGAAGGUGCUUAUAUAUACAAACGCAGAAAACAUAGUGGCUUCGGCGACACACUUUGCCAACAUAACUAUUGGACCGACAUGGUCGAUGAAAAAGGUUGAACAGUGCAUACAGCAAUGAAAUCUGGUGUUUGGAGCUGGAGUUGAACCAGCGACCUUUGGACCACAGCGUUUCUUGAACUUCUUAAAGUCAUGUGCUCUACCAACUGAGCUAUGAAGGUGCUUAUAUAUACAAACGCAGAAAACAUAGUGGCUUCGGCGACACACUUUGCCAACAUAACUAUUGGACCGACAUGGUCGAUGAAAAAGGUUGAACAGUGGAUACAGCAAUGAAAUCUGGUGUUUGGAGCUGGAGUUGAACAAGCGACCUUUGGACCACAGCGUUUCAGGAACUUCUUACAGUCCUCUGCUCUACCAACUGAGCUAUGAAGGUGCUUAUAGACACAAACGCAGAAAACAUAGUGACUUCGGCGACACACUUUGCCAACAAUACAAUUGGACCCACAUGGUCAAUGAAAAAGGUUGAACAGUGCAUACACCAAUGAAAUCUGGUGCUUGCAGGUGAAGUUGAACCAGCGACCUUUGGACCACAGCUUUUCAGGAACUUCUUAAAGUCAUGUGCUCUACCAACUGAGCUAUGAAGGUGCUUAUAGACACAAACGCAGAAAACCUUUUGGCUUCGGCCACAGACUUUGCCAACACAACAAUCAAGACACUUGGUCAAUGAAAAAGGUUGAACAGUGGAUAUAACAAUGAAAUCUGGUGCUUGGAGCUGGAGUUGAACCAGCGACUUUUGGACCACAGCAUUUCAGGAACUUCUUAAAGUCAUGUGCUCUACCAACUGAGCUAUGAAGGUGCUUAUAGACACAAACGCAGAAAACAUAGUGGCUUCGGCCACAGACUUUGCCAAAAUAACAAUCAAGCCACUUGGUCAAUGAAAAAGGUUGAACAGUGCAUACACCAAUGAAAUCUGGUGUUUGAAGCUGGAGUUGAACCAGCGACCUUUGGACCACAGCGUUUCAGGAACUUCUUACAGUCCUCUGCUCUACCAAAUGAGCUAUGAAGGUGCUUAUAGACACAAACGCAGAAAACAUAGUGGCUUCGGCCACAGACUUUGCCAACACAACAAUCAAGCCACUUGGUCAAUGAAAAAGGUUGAACAGUGGAUAUAACAAUGAAAUCUGGUGCUUGCAGGUGGAGUUGAACCAGCGACUUUUGGACCACACCGUUUCAGGAACUUCUUAAAGUCAUGUGCUCUACCAACUGAGCUAUGAAGGUGCUUAUAGACACAAACGCAGAAAACCUAGUGGCUUCGGCCACAGACUUUGCCAACACAACAAUCAAGCCACUUGGUCAAUGAAAAAGGUUGAACAGUGAAUACACCAAUGAAAUCUGGUGUUUGGAGCUGGAGUUGAACCAGCGAGCUUUGGACCACAGCGUUUCAGGAAGUUCUUGCAGUCAUGUGCUCUACCAACUGAGCUAUGAAGGUGCUUAUAGACACAAACGCAGAAAACAUAGUGGCUUCGGCCACAGACUUUGCCAACACAACAAUCAAGCCACCUGGUCAAUGAAAAAGGUUGAACAGUGCAUACACCAAUGAAAUCUGGUGUUUGGAGCUGGAGUUGAACCAGCGAGCUUUGGACCACAGCGUUUCAGGAACUUCUUACAGUCCUCUGCUCUACCAACUGAGCUAUGAAGGUGCUUAUAUAUACAAACGCAGAAAACAUAGUGGCUUCGGCGACACACUUUGCCAACAUAACAAUCAAGCCACCUGGUCAAUGAAAAAGGUUGAACAGUGCAUACACCAAUGAAAUCUGGUGCUUGCAGGUGGAGUUGAACCAGCGACCUUUGGACCACAGCUUUUCAGGAAAUUCUUAAAGUCAUGUGCUCUACCAACUGAGCUAUGAAGGUGCUUAUAUAUACAAACGCAGAAAACAUAGUGGCUUCGGCGACACACUUUGCCAACAUAACAAUCAAGCCACCUGGUCAAUGAAAAAGGUUGAACAGUGCAUAAACCAAUGAAAUCUGGUGUUUGGAGCUGGAGUUGAACCAGCGACCUUUGGAACACAGCGUUUCAGGAACCUCUUACAGUCCUCUGCUCUACCAACUGAGCUAUGAAGGUGCUUAUAGACACAAACGCAGAAAACAUAGUGGCUUCGGCCACAGACUUUGCCAACACAACAAUCAAGCCACUUGGUCAAUGAAAAAGUUUGAACAGUGCAUAUACCAAUGAAAUCUGGUGCUUGCAGGUGGAGUUGAACCAGCGACCUUUGGACCACAGCGUUUCUUGAACUUCUUAAAGUCAUGUGCUCUACCAACUGAGCUAUGAAGGUGCUUAUAUAUACAAACGCAGAAAACAUAGUGGCUUCGGCGACACACUUUGCCAACAUAACUAUUGGACCGACAUGGUCGAUGAAAAAGGUUGAACAGUGCAUACAGCAAUGAAAUCUGGUGUUUGGAGCUGGAGUUGAACCAGCGACCUUUGGACCACAGCGUUUCAGGAACUUCUUACAGUCCUCUGCUCUACCAACUGAGCUAUGAAGGUGCUUAUAUAUACAAACGCAGAAAACAUAGUGGCUUCGGCGACACACUUUGCCAACAUAACUAUUGGACCGACAUGGUCGAUGAAAAAGGUUGAACAGUGGAUACAGCAAUGAAAUCUGGUGUUUGGAGCUGGAGUUGAACCAGCGACCUUUGGACCACAGCGUUUCAGGAACUUCUUACAGUCCUCUGCUCUACCAACUGAGCUAUGAAGGUGCUUAUAGACACAAACGCAGAAAACAUAGUGACUUCGGCGACACACUUUGCCAACAAUACAAUUGGACCCACAUGGUCAAUGAAAAAGGUUGAACAGUGCAUACACCAAUGAAAUCUGGUGCUUGCAGGUGAAGUUGAACCAGCGACCUUUGGACCACAGCUUUUCAGGAACUUCUUAAAGUCAUGUGCUCUACCAACUGAGCUAUGAAGGUGCUUAUAGACACAAACGCAGAAAACCUUUUGGCUUCGGCCACAGACUUUGCCAACACAACAAUCAAGACACUUGGUCAAUGAAAAAGGUUGAACAGUGGAUAUAACAAUGAAAUCUGGUGCUUGGAGCUGGAGUUGAACCAGCGACUUUUGGACCACAGCAUUUCAGGAACUUCUUAAAGUCAUGUGCUCUACCAACUGAGCUAUGAAGGUGCUUAUAGACACAAACGCAGAAAACAUAGUGGCUUCGGCCACAGACUUUGCCAAAAUAACAAUCAAGCCACUUGGUCAAUGAAAAAGGUUGAACAGUGCAUACACCAAUGAAAUCUGGUGUUUGAAGCUGGAGUUGAACCAGCGACCUUUGGACCACAGCGUUUCAGGAACUUCUUACAGUCCUCUGCUCUACCAAAUGAGCUAUGAAGGUGCUUAUAGACACAAACGCAGAAAACAUAGUGGCUUCGGCCACAGACUUUGCCAACACAACAAUCAAGCCACUUGGUCAAUGAAAAAGGUUGAACAGUGGAUAUAACAAUGAAAUCUGGUGCUUGCAGGUGGAGUUGAACCAGCGACUUUUGGACCAC
rnacentral:lncRNA from 1 species